rfam:Desulfobacterales bacterium S3730MH5 k99_4544343, whole genome shotgun sequence.
AGAGUAGACCAAACGAUCGCUCGCGUCUUCAAUUUAUUCUGCAGAUGCGGGAGGAAAGUCCGAGCUCCAAAGGGCAGGGUGCUUCGUAACGCGAAGUCGCGGUAACGCGAAGGAAAGUGCCACAGAAAAGAUACCGCCAUUUGAGUCGGCGGCUACGCCUAUUUCAAAUGGUAAGGGUGAAAAGGUGCGGUAAGAGCGCACCAGUUCCCCGGGUGACCGGGGAAGCUAGGUAAACCCCACCCGGAGUAAGACCAAAUAGGGAGGCGUUUGAGGAUGGCCCGUCCGAGCUUCCGGGUCGGUCGCAAGAGGUGUUGGGCAACCAAUACCCUCAGAUGAAUGGUCGUUGUUCCGUUGAGGGUAACCGAUGCGGAAAACAGAACUCGGCUUAUGGUCUGCUCUGGCA